rnacentral:rRNA from 1 species
AAGUCGUAACAAGGUUUCCGUAGGUGAACCUGCGGAAGGAUCAUUAUCGAGUGGGGGUCCUUCGGGGCCCGAUCUCCAACCCUUUGUCUAUUCCACCGCGUCGCUUCGGCGGGCCCGCGCCCGCCGACCGCGACCGCAGUCUUGAAACAUAACCACACAAAACUUUCAACAACGGAUCUCUUGGCUCUGGCAUCGAUGAAGAACGCAGCGAAAUGCGAUAAGUAAUGCGAAUUGCAGAAUUCCGCGAGUCAUCGAAUCUUUGAACGCACAUUGCGCCCUCUGGUAUUCCGGAGGGCAUGCCUGUCCGAGCGUCAUUAUCCACUCUCAGGCUUGGCUUGACAUUGGGUCACGUCGGGGCUGGCCCCCAACGGACCUCAAAGAUAGUGGCGGAUCCCCGGGUGGACCCUCAGACGCAGCGAGCUCCUUCAGCACGCGUCGAGGGGUUCCCCGGCUCCACCUCGACCCACAGAUCGAACCGGUUGACCUCGGAUCAGGUAGGGAUACCCGCUGAACUUAAGCAUAUCAAUAAGCGGAGGAAAAGAAACCAACAGGGAUUGCCUCAGUAACGGCGAGUGAAGCGGCAACAGCUCAAAUUUGAAAUCUGGCCCGCCUCAGGGGGGCCCGAGUUGUAAUUUGUAGAGGAUGCUUCGGGCAAGGCCGCGGCCUAAGUCGCUUGGAACAGCGGGUCGCAGAGGGUGAGAGUCCCGUCCGAGGCCGCGCGCCGCGCCCGGGUGAAGCUCCUUCGACGAGUCGAGUUGUUUGGGAAUGCAGCUCUAAAUGGGUGGUAAAUUUCAUCUAAAGCUAAAUACCGGCCAGAGACCGAUAGCGCACAAGUAGAGUGAUCGAAAGAUGAAAAGCACUUUGAAAAGAGAGUUAAACAGUAUGUGAAAUUGUUGAAAGGGAAGCGCUUGCAACCAGACUUGGGGGCGACGGUUCCCCCGGCCCUUGGGCCGGGCUACUCCGUCGUCCCCGGGCCAGCAUCGGUUCGGGUGGCCGGUCAAAGGUCCCGGGAAUGUAUCAACCUUCGGGUCGACUUAUAGCCCGGGGCGCCAUGCGGCCCACCCGGACCGAGGAACGCGCUUCGGCUCGGAUGCUGGCGUAAUGGUCGCAAGCGGCC